GGUUAGGUGGCUGAGGUGAUAAGGCGAUAGAUUGUAAAUCUAUACAGGAGAGUUUCUCCCUAACCA
rnacentral:tRNA from 1 species